AGUGGGGGAUAACGUAGCGAAAGUUACGCUAAUACCGCAUAUGCCCUGAGGGGGAAAGGAGGGGAUCGCAAGACCUUUCGCUUUCGGAGUGGCCGAUAUCAGAUUAGCUAGUUGGUGGGGUAAAGGCCCACCAAGGCGACGAUCUGUAGCGGGUCUGAGAGGAUGAUCCGCCACACUGGGACUGAGACACGGCCCAGACUCCUACGGGAGGCAGCAGUGGGGAAUUUUGGACAAUGGGGGCAACCCUGAUCCAGCCAUGCCGCGUGAGUGAAGAAGGCCUUCGGGUUGUAAAGCUCUUUCAGCCGGAAAGAAAUCGCCACUCCUAAUACGAGUGGUGGAUGACGGUACCGGAAGAAGAAGCACCGGCUAACUACGUGCCAGCAGCCGCGGUAAUACGUAGGGUGCGAGCGUUAAUCGGAAUUACUGGGCGUAAAGCGUGCGCAGGCGGUUUUGUAAGACAGGCGUGAAAUCCCCGGGCUUAACCUGGGAACUGCGUUUGUGACUGCAAGGCUAGAGUGUGGCAGAGGGGGGUAGAAUUCCG
rnacentral:rRNA from 1 species